rnacentral:tRNA from 1 species
GCGAUCGUAGCUCAGUUGGUUAGAGCGUUGGAUUGUGGUUCCAAAAGUCGCGGGUUCGAGUCCCGUCGAUCGCCCCA